UACGUAGGGUCCGAGCGUUGUCCGGAAUUAUUGGGCGUAAAGAGCUUGUAGGCGGUUUGUCGCGUCUGCUGUGAAAAUCCGGGGCUCAACCCCGGACUUGCAGUGGGUACGGGCAGACUAGAGUGUGGUAGGGGAGACUGGAAUUCCUGGUGUAGCGGUGAAAUGCGCAGAUAUCAGGAGGAACACCAGCAGCGGAAAGGCAGUCUCUGGGGCC
rnacentral:rRNA from 1 species